UGGAUUUGUCUAAGACUCUUCUUCCCACUAAUAGAUGGCAAUAUAAAAAUCAUGCAUGAAUAUGUGAAUUUCUGGAUUCAGUCAACCACAUGGCGCAGUCAUAAACAUGUUCAUCUUCAGCAACAUGCGCGGUUCGGAAAACCACAAAUCAAAAUGUCAAAAGUGCUACAGCUGUUGAUGUCUCUAUAAAGACUGCAUCUCUCACUCACAUAACUGGAACGGAAACUGGCCGGCUACCGUUUGGCGGAGCAGCUCGGCUGAGCGUCAACCUCAGUGAUGUACAUAUAUAAAUGCUUGCCUCCCUCAGCUCAUAGGGG